UGUAUCUGAAGUCUGACGAGGAUGAGAACCUCCGGGGGCAAGAGGUUCGACCCGAGCGAAGCGAGAGAACGUUGCGUCAGCAACGGCCCGCAGGGCGAGCCACGCAGUGGCGAGUCA
rnacentral:sRNA from 1 species